GGAAGAAGGAGCCCCGGGGGCGAAACCUUCUGGAUUAGAACAGCCCGCACACUGGAGGCAGGGAGGAGAGUCGCGGCUCGGCCCCUCCUUUUGCGCAUAGACCUUUGGGAAAUGUAGUAACACGUGGCACAGCGCGCGAACGUCUGCCCAUCCACCUCCUGGUUAUCCCAUGCUGGGAUACCCUUCUAACCUAUCGCCCUGAGAAUUCUGCAAGCUUAGAUUUCCACGAAGUACUGUUUAGAGGGAUCUGCUGAGAAAUGGGAAGACUAUUUUAAAAGAAACAAAUGAUGGCGGCCCUACAUUACUCCCCUCCUCUGUGUUGCUCACCGGACGCUUUAUGAGGGGACACUAAACCAUGGCGCUACGCGUAUGGGGGAUCCAUUUUAUGUUUGGACUUCCCAUCGGGCGCUGAUUUCCGCUCCCCGGGAGGGUCCGCUGGUCCUGCGGGUGUUCUCAACUCCCGGCUGCCCACUUUUGGGCCACCACGACCGUCGGCUAUAGCCCAAGCCUGCCUUGGAGGGCAUUCGUUCUGCCAGCUGCGGGGGUGACGGUCUAAUUUUACUGAAGGGAAGCCUGAGGGUGUGGUGGGUAAAAGGUUGUUGACGAGUCUGUACGGCUAGUCGUGCCGUCCGCUCGCUGCGGCUGGAACAAAUUCUGACUCCUGUCUCACACCUGUCCUGUCCACCUCGCGUGGUGGUAAUCCCCUUUUCUCAGUUUUGCUGCCUCAGGUUAAGUCAUAAUCAUGCCGGCCAUUCUAACGGUCCCAUCCCGCCAGUGUUUACUGGGAGUGUGUUUAGUGCCAGGCAUUGCGCCUGGGGACACGGGGUUGAAAGGGGGUGGGGGUGGGGGGCGCGGCCUCACCCUCGCGGAGUUUACCGUCUAAUGGGGAAGACAGUGGUUACAGCACACAGAUAGGAGUAAAAUGUCAGAUUGUGGCUUCUACAAUCUCUCCCUAUCAUGUGGACGAAGGGCUUCCGCCUUCCAGGGAAGGUGAAUGAAACCAGUGUUUCGUCACCAUCUCCUCCAUCCUGACUUCCUGGGGUGUGUGCCAAGGUGCAGCUGAAAACCAGCCUAUGAACAAGGUAGUUCUCUCCGUCCUGUGCUUCGGAGCUCCUCUCCUGCAGCUAUAUUCACAGUAAGUCAUUUCGGUUCACAGUUUAGAGAUGAAGAAGGCCCAGGGGCCAGAGGACUGAUUACAGUUCUAAUUUACAAUUAUACAGUGAUUUUUCACACUGCUCGUGGAAUUCUUACUUCCUCCCUAUUUGAGUUGGAUGGUUAGAAGGAUCCGAUUUGAUUGAAGUAGUAUAGGCUGUGAUUAGCCCAAGACUGUGGCAUCUUCAGUUGAACUGGGAAGGAUGGGGCAACAAAGGCAAAUUAUUUCCUCAUUCCCACACAACUGUGUACUUACUGCGUGCAGCUGACCCUGUGUAGAAAAGGGAAUUGACUUCUCCUUUCCUUUGAAAUGGGAACUGUUGGGACAUCUAAGUGGCCUCAUUAAACUCAAGAUGCAAACAGCCGGU